ACUGGGACUGCCCAGUCACCUUGGCUGCCGCUUCACCUAUGGAUUUUGUGCUCGCUGCUUGCCUUCUUGCCGCUUCUGGUUUUCAUUGGUGCCGCCGAUUGUGGGUUGAUUGCGUCGCUUUUGGCAAUAUACCCAUCCUGGCUUUCGGCUAGGUUUUCCGUCCUACUUUUCCCACAUUGGCCUGAGAGCUGUAGUACAAAAAACACCGCGCGGUCUGGAGCUCUCCAUAAGCCCGCAGAACAAAAGCUGCGAUUUGCCCAAAAACCUUGCCAUGGCAACUAUACAGUCACCCCUUGCGGGUUAUUGCAUUGGAUUCAAUCUCCAGGCCAGUUGUAGCCCCCUUUUAUGAUAUGCGAGGAUACUUAACGUGUCUGAAUGUGGAAUAUAAUGUGAAAGGAAAGCAGCGCCCACUGGUGUAUCAGAAUAGUGGUGCACUACCUAUCUGCUCAUUCGUUGUUUCGGUUCUGUGUUUGUCUGAUUCUUAGAUAGUGUUGAGGUAAUUCUCGAAAGCGGAUUGAGUGUAAAACGGGCCACUUUGCCCUAAAUGUGACAAUCUGGAUGUGUAUCUUAUUGGUGGGUUGUGAAGCAUUUUAAAAAUGCGUUUUAGAUUGUAUCAGGCUAGUGCUGUAAUGGUGUGUUUAUUUCUCCAGUGUAAGCAAGUCGAUUUGAAUGACAUAGGCGACAAAGUGAGGUGGCAUUUGUCAGAAGUUUCAAAGACGUGUAAGAACAUUGGACUAAAGUGGUGUGCGGCAGCUGGGAGCGCUCUUUCAAUGUUAAUGUUUUAAUGUGUAUUUUGUGUUGGAAGUUCCAGGCUAAUAUUUGAUGUUUUGCUAGGUUGACUAACGAUGUUUUUUUUGUAGGUGAAAGCGUUGUGUAACAAUGAUAACGGUGUUUUGUCUGGGUUUUUCCUUGUUCGCACCGGACACCUCCAGUGACCAGACGGCAAGGUUUUUAUCCCAGUGUAUAUUGGAAAAACAUGUUAUACUUUUGACAAUUUAACGUGCCAAUAGCUCAAAUUAAACUAAUACUAUAACGUAAUGCAACUUACAACAUAAAUAAAGGUCAAUGUUUAAUCCAUA
rnacentral:misc_RNA from 1 species